ensembl:lncRNA
CGACAGGGUCUCUCUGUGCUCCUGGAUUUUCACAGGAGCAUCACUGUGCUCACACUCAGCUUCUGUCAGCCAGCCCUGGUGCUCAAACCCGUGAUUUGGAGCCAGGCAGAGCUUGCUCUGCAGCCUACUCCUCCCUGAGGUCUGCUGAGCUCUGAGUGCAUGUCCUCAAUCUCACUUGCAAAACAGGAAGGAGGGGGUGAAAAAAAAUGCUUUGAGGCUGACUGAUGAAAAGAGUGAGGUGUGAUCUGGUUUUGUUUUCCAACAGUGAAGCUUUUAUAGAAUCAUGGAACAGUUUGGGUGGGAAGGUACCUUUGAAGGCCACCUGGCUCAGGGCACUGGAGUUAAAACGAGCGGCAGGGAGCCCACCUCCUGCAGCAGCUGGUCCAGGAAGAGCAGGCACCGAGCCCGCACAUCCCUGCUGCUCCGGCUCACCGCUGGCUGAGCUUCCUCGGGACACACCGAGCUCCCUGCUCAGCACCACCACAGAGGAGCCAGGAUCUGCUCUCCGAGGACAGAGCAAAGAUCGUGCAGCUCUUGGGACCGCAAGCUGUCUUAGGCAAGGACAGGCCGCCCUCUGCAGGGAAAUUCACCACACUUGGGUUCCGGCUUUCCCCAUCCACUGCCUGGGUUAGCCCCCACAGAUCGACCCCAGGGCCAGAGCCCUGCUCUCACCUUACAUCCUCCAGCAGACCUCCAUUUCCAGUGCCUGUGACACACAGAAGAUUUCCAGGGAGGUGCACCAGCGGUCUGGGAUUUCACACCAAGCUUUUCCCCCGUGGUAAAAAUAAUGGGAUCACAGCUGCUGGGAUAUGUGUGAGCUGUGAGGAGCAGGUGUAGGCCUGAAGAAAGAAGAAUGAAGAAAGCCAGGAGGUGUUUAGUCCUGCUGAAUUGUGUCUGAUGGGUUUUCUCCAGCGGAGCAUUUCAGCACAUCAUCCCCAGGAAGGUCAGCAAAGUCAUUUGAGACAGCUUUGCAUGCGAGAGGCUGUGCACUGCACUUGCUUGGGGUGGCAUUUUGGCAGCAGAUCUUGGAACAGAAAAGGAAAUUUUGCUGUUUCUGGCCAGGCCUCCUGGGUUGUGUCAGCGUGGCUGAAACAGGUAAGCUCCCAAGGUCAGCUUAGACAGCAUGUCCAGUGUCCCCUCUGACAAGGGUGGCAGAAGGGAUGUGUCACUGUCAUAUUUUCUGAAAAACCCUUUUGCCAGGAUUUCUUCUCCUGGGAAGCUGAGAAGCCUCAGAAAAGAAAUGUAAACAAUAAUUAUCUGAUUGCUUUGGAAUGUGGUCUGGAGAUCAUUUACCACAGGUGCCUCCUUGAUUGGUUCCAUGUGAAUUGUUUUAACUUAUUGUUCACCAUCAGCUGUGUUGGACUCUGAGGAGCCAGUCAUGAGCUUUCAUUAUUCAUCCUUGCUAAACCUUCUGAUGUAUCCUUUCUCUUUCUUUAGUAUAGUUUUAGUAUAGCAUUCUUUAAUAUAAUAUAUAUCAUGAGCUUUCAUUAUUCAUCCUUGCUAAACCUUCUGAUGUAUCCUUUCUCUUUCUUUAGUAUAGUUUUAGUAUAGCAUUCUUUAAUAUAAUAUANNNNNNNNNNNNNNNNNNNNUUCUUUAAUAUAAUAUAUAUCAUUAAAUCAGCCUUCUGAGAA